CUCAUCUUUAUCCUUUCUUUUGGAUAAGAUGUUUGACGUUGUUAUAAAAGGAGGAGAAGAGUGGGGCGUGCAAGAAGAAGUUUUUUGAAGAAAAAUUUUGGGGUGUGAGAAGUCUUGUGCGUGAGAAGAAAGUCCAUAUCCUUCCAAAAGAAAAAGAAAGAAAGAAAGAAAAGUGGGUGCAAGGUUUCCAGUGAGUUCCCUAGAGUUUUAGCCUG
rnacentral:lncRNA from 1 species